rnacentral:sRNA from 1 species
AAGGAGUCUAACAUAUAUGCGAGUAUUAGGGUGAGUAAAACCCAAAUAAUGCGUAAUGAAAGUAAAGGCUAUCUCUGGUAGCUGAGGUGGGCAUCGUUUAUUUAUUUUUGAUAUAAGCGAGGCACCAUCGACCGAUCGUUCACUUGUGAAAGAUUUGUGUAAGAGCAUAUGGGUUGGGACCCGAAAGAAGGUGAACUAUGCCUGUACAGGGCGAAGCCAGAGGAAACUCUGGUGGAGGCGCGCAGCGGUUCUGACGUGCAAAUCGAUCGUCAAAUAUGGGAAUGGGGGCGAAAGACUAAUCGAACCUUCUAGUAGCUGGUUUCCGC